UUUUUUUUUUUUGUAACUGUAAUUCAAUUCAAAAUCUAGGGGAUAUGGGAGCUGAAUCGAUAAGUAAUUAAGAAAGAACAAGACAUAAAGGAAAAAUUCAGUAAUUAAGAAAGAACAUGGGAAUUGAUUGUCCAGAAAGUAAAAUGCCAUUUGGACAAGAAGCAAAAUGGUUCAAGGAAAAAAUGUUUUUUAUUUCUCGCGAGGACGGCUAUGGUGGAAUAGUAGGAGACAAUGGAAACUUUGUACAAGUAACAUACACCUUACUAUGAGUUUCUCCGGUUAAAUCGAUCAAACAUAUGCAAUACGAAGACAGAUUGAAACCCUAGCUUUUGCUUUUGCUUGCAGAGAAGAAACCCCCAAACAAUUUCACAGUGAACUAGUGUGUUUGAUUUGUCUAUUUAUGCAUGGAGAAAUUUUAUUUUCUUACGCUGGGAUGCCCUUAUGAAAAAGUUUAUAAAUAUGAGGGGUGUAUGAACAAUAUAUGGAAGUUAACGGACAAUCAUAUUCCAAUUGACUGAAACACCACUUAGAUGUAUUAGCCGGAAGCUGAUAUCCUUUUUCUCCGUGAUAUUGAAUUUACAAAGCAGGUGAAGUUUCAGCC